AUCGCAUCCUUCCUCUGCAUCUGGAGGCGGGACGGGAGGUCCUGGCCUUGCUGGAGCUGUGGGUCCUCCUACCCACAGCUGGAUCUCUGCUGCGCCUUCCUACUCUACUGGCUUGCUUGGUCUUCCCUCCCCGGUCAGGGGCGUCAUGUGAUCUGAUGAGAUAGUGUAUGUGAAAGCCUUUGUCAACUGUAAGGCACAGCCGAAUGCCAAUUGUUGCUUUUGUUAUUACACAAACCACACUCCAG
rnacentral:lncRNA from 1 species